rnacentral:rRNA from 1 species
AGUGAACGCUGGCGGUAGGCCUAACACAUGCAAGUCGAACGGCAGCACAGUAAGAGCUUGCUCUUACGGGUGGCGAGUGGCGGACGGGUGAGGAAUACAUCGGAAUCUACUUUUUCGUGGGGGAUAACGUAGGGAAACUUACGCUAAUACCGCAUAUGACCUACGGGUGAAAGCAGUGGAUCUUCGGACCUUGCGCGAUUGAAUGAGCCGAUGUCGGACUAGCUAGUUGGCGGGGUAAAGGCCCACCAAGGCGACGAUCCGUAGCUGGUCUGAGAGGAUGAUCAGCCACACUGGAACGUAGACACGGUCCAGACUACUACGGGAGGCAGCAGUGGGGAAUAUUGGACAAUGGGCGCAAGCCUGAUCCAGCCAUACCGCGUGGGUGAAGAAGGCCUUCGGGUUGUAAAGCCCUUUUGUUGGGAAAGAAAAGCAGCAGGUUAAUACCCCGCUGUUCUGACGGUACCCAAAGAAUAAGCACCGGCUAACUUCGUG